rnacentral:rRNA from 1 species
GACGUAGGGCGCGAGCGUUGUCCGGAUUAUUGGGCGUAAAGAGCUCGUAGGCGGCUUGUCGCGUCGACCGUGAAAACUUGGGGCUCAACCCCAAGCCUGCGGUCGAUACGGGCAGGCUCGAGUUCGGUAGGGGAGACUGGAAUUCCUGGUGUAGCGGUGAAAUGCGCAGAUAUCAGGAGGAACACCGGUGGCGAAGGCGGGUCUCUGGGCCGAUACUGACGCUGAGGAGCGAAAGCGUGGGGAGCGAACAGG